rnacentral:tRNA from 1 species
GCCGGGGUGGCGGAAUUGGCAUACGCAGCGGACUUAAAAUCCGUCGGUCGCAAGACCUUGUGGGUUCGAGCCCCACCCCCGGUACCA